rnacentral:rRNA from 1 species
GAUGAACGCUGGCGGCGUGCCUAACACAUGCAAGUCGAGCGGCAGCGAGGGGUGCUUGCACCCUGUCGGCGAGCGGCGGACGGCUGAGUAACGCGUGGGAACGUGCCCCAAAGUGAGGAAUAACUGCCCGAAAGGGUAGCUAAUACCGCAUAUUAUCUUCGGAUCAAAGGAUUUAUCCGCUUUGGGAGCGGCUCGCGUCGGAUUAGGUAGUUGGUGAGGUAAUGGCUCACCAAGCCGACGAUCCGUAGCUGGUCUGAGAGGAUGACCAGCCAGACUGGAACUGAGACACGGUCCAGACUCCUACGGGAGGCAGCAGUGAGGAAUCUUCCACAAUGGGCGAAAGCCUGAUGGAGCAACGCCGCGUGCAGGACGAAGGCCUUCGGGUUGUAAACUGCUUUUAUAAGUGAGGAAUAUGACGGUAACUUACGAAUAAGGAUCGGCUAACUACGUG